UACGUGAGCCCCGAGCGUUAUCCGGAAUUAUUGGGCGUAAAGAGUGCGUAGGUUGCGUAGUUAGUCUUCUGUUUAAUCCUUCGGCUCAACCGGAGAACUGCAGAGGAAACGGCUAUGCUUGAGCAUGUAAGAGGUCUGCAGAACUCAUGGUGUAGGGUGAAAUCCGUUGAUAUCAUGGGGAAUACCAAAUGCGAAGGCAGCAGACUGGUGCAUUGCUGACACUGAGGCACG
rnacentral:rRNA from 1 species